GACGUAGGGUGCGAGCGUUGUCCGGAUUUAUUGGGCGUAAAGAGCUCGUAGGCGGCUCGUCGCGUCAGCUGUGAAAACCCGGGGCUCAACUUCGGGCUUGCGGUCGAUACGGGCGGGCUAGAGUUCGGUAGGGGAGACUGGAAUUCCUGGUGUAGCGGUGAAAUGCGCAGAUAUCAGGAGGAACACCGGUGGCGAAGGCGGGUCUCUGGGCCGGUACUGACGCUGAGGAGCGAAAGCGUGGGGAGCGAACAGG
rnacentral:rRNA from 1 species